CAGCAGACACAUUCCAGCCAAUCAGCAGCAGACCCUCCCCCAGACCCUCCCACCUCCUGGACAGCAUCCAUUUUGCAUUCUUAGUGAGCUGUCCAGGAGGUAGGAGGGUCUGGGAGGGAGGGUCUGCUGCUGAUUGGCUGGAAUGUGUCUGCU